GGAGUCUAGACCAGGCCAUGGUCUUCUGGCCCCAGUAGACAGAAUCCCCUCACUGCAAAUCCCCAAAGUAGGUGGCUAGGGGUAGAGGGAUGACCUGUACAGAAAGCCCAGGGACACUGGCCUCAGACCCAUCUGGAUUGGCUUAGGUCAGCUUCUUCACCAGGACACCAUAGACCACCUGGCCCUUUGUGCCAGCCUCAGCACCCUGCUGCCCUGUGACCCCCUCAAUCCUGAUGCUGCUGUCUCCAAGCUCCGUGAAUUUGGCAGCUAAGCAGCCUCCAGCCCCAUCUGUGUGGUGGAGACAACCUCACACAACUGUGAUGCAAAAUGAAACCAUGUAUGAGAAACUCAGGAUGUGCUUAGUUAUUCUGUCCUUUCAGUGGCUACUGUUUCUCUUUUAUUUUUUUUUUUUUCUUUCUUUUAUUUUUCCUGGCUGUGGCAUGCAGAAGUUCCUGGGAUUGAGCCCAAGCCACAGCAGUGACAAUGCUGAAGCCUCAACCUACUAGGCCACCGUGGAGCUCCAGAAACAGAGUCAGUGCAAAUCUGCAGUUGAUGGCAGCUGGUCAAAGGCUUUUGGUCUGGAAAACUCCUCAAAGGUGAAGAGUUUACAUUGAUGAAGAGGUAAAAAGGCCCAAAUCAAAUGUAGACUCAAGUACUAGGCUGCAUAAGAUUAAAUCAGUGAAAAAACCAGGACAGUUUUUGAUGUGUGUGCAAGUGUGCGUGCGUGGAGUCUGUGGUUUAUUUGGGGUUGAUCACAAUUACCUCCAAAUGUUACAAAACCAUAAACAAAACCCUGGGAGAAUUUAAUUUGAGGCAUCCAAAUACAGUUCAACUUUAUUAAUUCAAUCUAAUUUCUUAUUUGUGGCUGUGGGCGAGCAACUUCCCAAAUUAAGGACUUUGCUUAAACAAAUGGUAAGCAGUUCAGGAAACAGUAGUUUGCAUUUAAAUUGGCACAACCAGGUAGUUUCUGCCCUGGCGCAGUGGUUAACAAAUCUGACUAGGAGCUGUGAGGUUGUGGGUUUGAUCCCUGGCCUCAAUCAAUGGGUUAAGGAUCCAGUGUUGCCGUGAGCUGUGGUGUAGGUCACAGACACGGCUCAGAUUCCAUGUUGCUGUGGCUGUGGUGUAGGCCGGCAGCUAUAGCUCUGAUCGGACUCCUAGCCUGGGAACUUCCAUAUGCGUCGGGUGUGGCCUCAAAAGACAAAAGACUAAAUAAAUAAAUAAAUAAAUAAAUAAAAUUGGCACAACCAGAAUAUUUUCAACAGUUGGACCAUGUUAGUUUUCUUUUCCAUUCUCACGUGCACAAUGAAUUUACUCAGCCAAGAGUUUUCUAUCAUAUAGAGAUAAUCCUUGGUUCUGUUCUCACCUGGCAUCAGUUCCAAAAUAGUGUGUCAUAGGUGGAUGACUGGGGCAAAAAGGCACAUUAAUAAAAAAAUUUUUUUUUUUGCUUUUUUGGGCCACAUCUGUGGCAUAUAGAAGUUCCCAGGCUAGAGAUCAAAUCAGAGCUGCAAUUGCUGGCCUACUCCACAACCAUAGCAACGCUAGAUCUGAGCCACAUCUGCGACCUAUACCACAGCUCAUGGCAAUGCUGGAUCCUUAACCCACUGAGCAAGGCCAGGGAUCAAACCCGUGACCUCAUGGAUACUAGUCAGGUUCAUUACUGCUGAGCCACAAGGGGAACUCCCAGACAUUUAUAAAAUUUGAAUUGUGGUCUCAUUCUGUGUUACCUCUUGUUCUUUCACUAACUGGUGCAAAGUAGCAAACAAUAAUAAGCAAAGAAAGACAGGACAUGCCUCUGCAUGUCAUGCAGCACCAGGCCCUGGAGUUGCCCCAGGAGCAGUUUGGGACUCUUGCCUUCAGGAGCCUCUCAGUCUGCUUGCAGGUCGAAGACAGCACAGUGUGGGGACAUGGGACCAUAGGAUUCAGCUUGCCCUGCCACAAAGCUUUGGUGGCUUCUUAUUUCUCAGGGCUGUGGUUGACCAGCCUCUGCCCUUCUUUCUGGCCUCAUCUCACUGCUUGCCCCCUGGCUGCCUCAGGCUUUGUCCUGAACUUUUGUGUCUGGGCAGCUGCGCCCGUGGGGAGCUGGAACUGAGAACCUAGGACCCCCAACUGCUUGAGGCCACUCACUCCACUGUGGUAGCCUCCAGGGACCAGCAUGUGUCGGGCCCUAUGGCCUUGACCCUCAGGCCUGAUUCCUCACCAUAGCAGUCGAGGGCCACAGACAUGACAGAUUGAACAACCCUGAAAGAGCAGGGAGCAGGCUGGAGGUCCCGGGUGGAAACCAAUGAAAAGUCAGCUUAUGGUUACCAGAAGAGAAAUGUUGGGGGGAGGGAUAAAUUAGGAGGAUGGGAUGAACACAUACACACUAAUAUAUAUAAAAUAGAUAUAUAACAAGGAUCCACUGUAUAGGAGUUCCCGCCGUGGCUCAGUGGUUAACGAAUCCAACUAGGAACCAUGAGGUUGCAGGUUCGAUCCCUGGCCUCGAUCAGUGGGUUAAGGACCCGGUGUUGCCAUGGGCUGUGGUAUAGGUCGCAGAUGCAGCUCAGAUUCAGCGUUGCUGUGGCUGCAGUGUAGGCCGGCGGCUACAGCUCCAAUUCAACCCCUAGCCUGGGAACCUCCAUAUGCUGCCGGUGUGGCCCUAGAAAAAGAUAAAAAGAAAAAAAAGGAUCCACUGUAUAGCACAGGGAAAUCUACUCAGUACUGUGUAAUAACCCAGAUGGGAACAGAACCUGAAAAAGAAUGGAUGGAUAUAUAACUGAUUCACUGGGCCAUAUACCUGAAACUAACAGAACAUUGUUAGUUAACUAUGGCGUUCCCUUCAUGGCACAAACGAAUCCGACUAGGAACCAUGAGGUUGCGGGUUCGAUCCCUGGCCUCGCUCAGUGGGUUAAGGAUCUGGUGUUGCCGUUGAGCUAUGGUGUAGGCUGCAGAUAAGCCUCAGGUCGCAGACAUGGCUUGGAUCUGGUGUCACUAUGGCUCUAGUGUAGGCCAGCAGCUUAUAGCUCCGAUUUGACCCCUAGCCUGGGAACCUCCAUAUGCCGCGGGGGCGGCCCUUAAAAAAAAAAAAA
rnacentral:lncRNA from 1 species